rnacentral:lncRNA from 1 species
AUGUAUUUUCGGGGGGCUGAUGAUCAGGGAUUCAAUUGGGAAUCAAGCAAGAAGGAGGAUGGUACAACUCUUUAAGACAGUCUGUACCUUAACUAGCUACUUCCGGGAUUACACAUGUUUGGCUUCCUCCACCUUCUGAUGCGAUUUCACCUGAAGGUAAUUACCUGUCCGAAAACUCUCUCUUGAACCUUGUCAGUUGUGCAAACCACAUUUUAUUUAAAGUUGUUAAGCUCAAAGAUGAUCGCAGAACUAGCACGCAAGUCUGCUACAAGACUUUGAUCCAAAAAAAUUUAUUCCACUCUUGAAAGCUUAGUCUUUAGCCAUAACAGUAGUUGUAUGACUGUCAUAGGAGAAUUUUUUGUAUAUUGAGCAUUGAUCUCGUAUCUUUCCUUUUUCUAAGGAUACAUGCCUGGAAGGCUCUAUGAUCUCAAUGCAUCAAAAUAUUGAAGCCAAGAUGAAUUGAAGUCACUGAUAAAUGCCUUACAUGAUAGUGGGAUACAGGACUGAUUAAAGCCCCUCUCUUAUUUGCAGCGACGACACACAAUAUUCUGAUGGCAAGGGGAACCAUGACACUGGAGCUGACUACAAUGCUGCUCCUGAUACUGACCACAAAAACACAGAAGUCCUUAAAGAGCUUUCGCAUUGGAUG